ensembl:piRNA 21ur-7441 ncRNA
UUUUCUCAUCAUUGGAAAGGU